UACGAAGGGGGCUAGCGUUGCUCGGAAUCACUGGGCGUAAAGGGUGCGUAGGUGGCGCCGUAAGUCAGGUGUGAAAUUUCGGAGCUUAACUCCGAAACUGCAUUUGAUACUGCGGUGCUUGAGGACUGGAGAGGAGACUGGAAUUUACGGUGUAGCAGUGAAAUGCGUAGAUAUCGUAAGGAAGACCAGUGGCGAAGGCGGGUCUCUGGACAGUUCCUGACACUGAGGCACGAAGGCCAGGGGAGCAAACGGG
rnacentral:rRNA from 1 species